UCUAUAGCUCUGUAUGUUACUGCCUGCCUUACCGCCUGCCCGCCUUACCGCCCGCUUGCCUUACCGCUCGCCCGACUACCUUACCGCCCGCCUUACCGCCCGCUUGCCUUACCGCCCGACUGCCUUACCGCCCGCCCGACUGCCUUACCGCCCGCCCGACUGCCUUACCGCCCGCCCGACUACCUUACCGCCUUGCCCGCCUUACCGCCCGCUUGCCUUACCGCUUGCCUUACCGCCCGCUUGCCUUACCGCCCGACUACCUUACCGCCUGCCCGCCCGACCGCCCGCCUUACCGCCCGACUACCUUACCGCCUGACUACCUUACCGGCUUACCGCCCGCCCGACUGCCUUACCGCCUUGCCCGCCCGCCUUACCGCCCGAUUGCCUUACCGCCUGCCCGCCUUACCGCCCGACUGCCUUACCGCCUGCCCGCGCGACUGCCUUACCGUCCGCUUGCCUUACCGCCUGCCCGCCUUACCGCCCGACUACCUUACCGUCCGACUACCUUACCGUCCGACUGCCUUACCGCCCGCCCGACUACCUUACCGCCUUGCCGCCCGCUUGCCUUACCGCCCGCUUGCCUUACCGCCCGACUGCCUUACCGCCCGCCCGACUACCUUACCGCCUUGCCCGCCCGACUGCCUUACCGCCCGCUUGCCUUACCGCCCGCUUGCCUUACCGCCCGACUACCUUACCGCCUGCCCGCCCGCCUUACCGCCCGACUACCUUACCGCCUUUCCGCCUGACUACCUUACCGGCUUACCGCCCGCUUGCCUUACCGCCCGCCCGACUGCCUUACCGCCUUGCCCGCCCGAUUGCCUUACCACCUGCCCGCCUUACCGCCCGACUGCCUUACCGCCUGCCCGCGCGACUGCCUUACCGCCCGCUUGCCUGCCCGCCUUACCGCCCGACUACCUUACCGUCCGACUACCUUACCGCCCGCCCGACUACCUUACCGCCUUGCCGCCCGCUUGCCUUACCGCCCGCUUGCCUUACCGCCCGACUGCCUUACCGCCUUGCCCGCCUUACUGCCCGCUUGCCUUACCGCCCGCUUGCCUUACCGCCCGCUUGCCUUACCGCCCGACUGCCUUACCGCCCGACUGCCUUACUGCCUUGCCCGCCCGCUUGCCUUACCGCCCGUCCGCCUUACCGCCCGACUGCCUUACCGCCCGACCGCCUUACCGCCGUCCGCCUUACUGUCCGUCCGCCUUACCGCCCGCCCGACUACCUUACCGCCUUGCCUGCCUUACCGCCUGCCCGCCUUACCGCCCGACUGCCUACCGCCCUGCCUGCCUUACCGCCUGCCUGCCUUGCCUGCUUUACCGCCUGCUUGCCUGCCUUACCACCUGCCUUACCGCCUGCCUGACCGCCUUGGCAUGGGACACCACUGCUAGACUGGAGCCUAGUUGUCAGAGCAGCCAGCUAUAUUGUAGUCUAUAG
rnacentral:lncRNA from 1 species